rnacentral:misc_RNA from 1 species
GAUGAAGAACGCAGCGAAAUGCGAUAAGUAAUGUGAAUUGCAGAAUUCAGUGAAUCAUCGAAUCUUUGAACGCACAUUGCGCCCCUCGGCACUCCGGGGGGCAUGCCUGUCCGAGCGUCAUUGCACCCCUCGAGCCCCCCGUGGCUUGGUCGUGAGCCGCGCCCGCGCCAGCCCCGGCCCCCCCCGUGCAGCGGGGGGCAGGGGCGCCGGGCGGGCUCGAAACGCAGUGGCGGCCCCCGGGCGACUUCCAGCGCGAUGACAUGUUUCGCUGCCGAAGCCUUCGCCCCGGGCGCCCGCCAGGCAACCCCCGUGCUUCUUACGCGGUUGACCUCGGAUCAGGCAGGGAUACCCGCUGAACUUAAGCAUAUCAAUAAGCGGAGGA